rnacentral:lncRNA from 1 species
GACAAACUGAGAGUAAAAGAUGCAGGAAUAAAACACAGAAAUCAAAAUAAAGGGUUUACUGCUGAAAAAUCCGCUUGAACAAGCCUGUUAAUGUGAUCUUCCUGAAUGAAGCCAGCUUACCCCUAGGCCUCCACUGUCCCUCAGGAAAGAGAACACGAAAACUGGAACUCUCUGCAGAAAGGAGGAUCCCAAAGAAGGGGCCAAGCUGUACAUUUAUCAAUCAGGAAAGCCACUCCACCCUCCAUGGCAGCCCCUACAAUUUGAAACAAGCAUAGCCAACUCUGUCAGUGUCUCCUCAGGCAAUCAGAAUCAACAGACAGAAUGUAGGACAGAAAACUGGCUGCAAACAUGUUGGAAGGGCUGGAGGAGCGAAAGAGGGAAGAUCUGUUACCUAGAGAUAGUAACUUCCAGAAGUUACCACUAUACUAGUGCAGGAGAAGCAGAAAGGAAGAUGCUGCUACCCAGAGCCCACAGUCAUUGUGCCCCUGAUGCCGCUGGAACCCCACUGCAGCUGCUUUACAGGAAGCAGGGAAUUAGCGCUCUUGCUGAUGCUACAGGUAUCCAGGAUCCAAAAGUCAUCAGCCGCUGUCCCUGUUGCAGCCUAGGGAAACUGUCCCACUGAGGUUGUUGGGGUACCUGCUACUGCAUCUACUGUCUGAACCAUGUUGCCUGAGCAGAUGUCCAGGGCUCAGGCUUGCCUGCUGCUGUUACUGCUGCCACCAUGUUUAUCAGAGCUACUUCAAGAAGAGAAGAAAUCCUCCUCAUUUCCAGUUUUUUCCAGUGCCUCCCAUUGCUUCCCAGAAUGCCAAAUUCUCUUUGAGAGACAGCUGAAAGGAAGGUUUGGAAAAGACUCUGGUGUAAGCAGAUUCUGCUUCCCUGCAAUAGGGGGAAAGCAUAGGGUGGAACUGGAGCUGAGAGCUAAUCACGAAUGAGCAAAUCAGUCUUCAAGACAUUUACCUUUCCUUGAAACGUUUCCCUUCUUUUACCGUGUUUUCCAUGUCAUUAUUUUUCCACAAUUCUGCAUCAUAUUCUGUUAACUAUUAAUGCCCUGGAUAAGUUUAUUUGCUCUUUCUUAGGGUUAAUUUUUCUCCUUUUCUUCGAAGCUUUAGUUUGCAGGUUCAGCUUGUGUGGGAAUUUUCAUCUCCCUCCUCUUCAAGACUCCUUGGAUAUCAGUUUUUUGGUUGCCUUCACCAACUCUCCCCCCACCAUCUCUAGACCAGGGCAUGGUCUUAGUUGGUGGCUUGGACUCCUGUGGCUUGGAGUCUUUGGGGAUAUUAGAGAUCCAGUCACUGAGCUGGCAAAGGGAACACUGUCCUUGCUUCCAGCUUUAUGAAGAACGCUUUGCUCUGUCACCCCACGUGAGUCCAACUCUUGGCUGCCUACACUGCCUGAGGCUUCAGUUCUGGCAUCGUGCUGCAUGUGAUCUAUUAUCCUGCUUUUGAAUAUGCCUAUGACUUUUCUUUAUAUAUUUUUAAAAAUGUUAUUAUUGGUAUGUUUACAGUGAAGGGAAGAAUGUGAAGCAUGAACUCAAGAGUCACAGUAAUGAUAAAUUUUAAUGAUUGUAAUUGUCCUAUCUGUCAUAAUACAUUUAUUUUGUUGAUUUGUUUGGAUUUUCUAGGUAAAUAAUCAUGUUAUUCAAGGAUAAUGAAUGCAGCCACCAUGUAAUCAUCACUGACUCCAUGGCCAUGAGAAAAGAGACCUAAGAAAUGAUGCCCAUCCAGAAGAGUGAAGACUUCCUGAAAAUGUUCUUUUAACCUAAGAUGUAGGUUAAGAGGAGUGAAAAAAUGUUCUGUUUCUGACUGAUGAUGGAGCAACAAAGGUAUGUUUCUUAUUAAUAACACUGAGCAGUUAGGAAGCAGAUGUGCCUCUCCAGGGAAACUCACAAGUGUCCACUGACCUAGUAUCUGCGGAGAACCAUAGCAGUUGUGGUCUCUCUCCCCAGCUUCAAGCAAGGGCAACUUUUCCCUGUGUCUGGUUCUUUUGCUGUCACCUGAAGCCACAGAAAAUGAUCUGAACCUGCUCAGUCCCUGGACAUAUCUGGGGAAUACAAAGUCUCAGAGUCGCUCUCUAAGAAUUGCCAGCAUGUUCUAGAGAUUCUUUAGAUGCAUAGCUGCAUGGAGCAAAACAGGGUCAGGGGAUGUGUGCCGAGGCCAAGGUCUUCUCUUAUGUUUCAAAAAUAUUAACAUUUCAGGCCUGUCUUCUUUUAAAGGAUAGCUCAUGUAUAUGAUUUUUUAAAAAAAAAUCUACCAAAUCAAAUAAAGAAGUCCUGGGAGUUCACCCGGUGUUUUCUACAGAACCAAGGUAUUCAUAUUGAGAUCCUUCAAUAUAAUCAGCUAUGUGACCUUGGUUAAGUUAAUUAAUGCCUCUGAAACUGAGGUUCCUCAUCUGUGAAAUGGAGAUAUUCAACAAAGCACCCUGUGGGGAUUAGAUGAGAUUGCACAUCUGACUGCCUAGAGUAUAGUAAGGGGUCACUGUUUCCUCUUCACUCCUCAGGAAAAUUUGAUUGAACAAGGAUAGAAACUUUGAUUCUAGGGACAGAAGGUCUUCAGAAGUCUUUGAGGCCAGAGGGCCUGUCAUAGAACUGCAGUGUAGGUUCAUUAAAACGCUGUCAUCCUAAUGUUUAUCCACAGUAUCUAAUAGAUUUAAAAGGAAGACAAUAUGGCACAGACUAUUUCGGAAACCUAUGCCCAUUCUGCCAAGAGGAUAUCGCUAUUGGUGGUCAGACUAUUUCACUUAUAAGGUUUCUUUUUUCCUUAAGUCAUAAAGAUUAACAUUUACUAAAAAUUUGAGGGUCCAUUAAUGGACUCCCACAUGGCUUUCCUCUUUCCUUUGAGCUGGAUUCAUUUUCACUGAGUCCCGAGUCCUGCACAUCUGACAAUUGCUUCAGACCUUGGACAUGCUUGAAUUAUUUUAUGCAAAUCAUUUGAAAAGGCAAAGUACCACUGUUCUUUCUUGAGUUUCUUCGUAAACUGGUUUCUAAUUUAUCUGCUGCUUUUUCUCGAUCCAAUUUGUGCCUAUGUCUUACUAUAGAUUCUUUGGAAAUAAAGAAAUAAAGAAUAUAUCUGUAGCUAUUUUGUUAAACUAAGAAUGUUUUAAAAUAUUUUAUUGUAAAA